rnacentral:rRNA from 1 species
UACGGGGGGGGGCAAGCGUUGUUCGGAAUUACUGGGCGUAAAGGGCUCGUAGGCGGCCAACUAAGUCAUACGUGAAAUCCCUCGGCUUAACCGGGGAACUGCGUCUGAUACUGGAUGGCUUGAGUUCGGGAGAGGGAUGCGGAAUUCCAGGUGUAGCGGUGAAAUGCGUAGAUAUCUGGAGGAACACCGGUGGCGAAGGCGGCAUCCUGGACCGGCAUUGACGCUAAAGCGCGAAAGCCAGGGGAGCAAACGGG